GAUGAAGAACGCAGCGAAAUGCGAUAAGUAAUGCGAAUUGCAGAAUUCAGUGAAUCAUCGAAUCUUUGAACGCACAUUGCGCCCCUUGGUAUUCCGAGGGGCAUGCCUGUUCGAGCGUCAUUACACCACUCAAGCUAUGCUUGGUAUUGGGCGUCGUCCUUAGUUGGGCGCGCCUUAAAGACCUCGGCGAGGCCACUCCGGCUUUAGGCGUAGUAGAAUUUAUUCGAACGUCUGUCAAAGGAGAGGAACUCUGCCGACUGAAACCUUUAUUUUUCUAGGUUGACCUCGGAUCAGGUAGGGAUACCCGCUGAACUUAAGCAUAUCAAUAAGCGGAGGA
rnacentral:misc_RNA from 1 species